UGGGGAAUUUUGGACAAUGGGCGAAAGCCUGAUCCCAGCAAUGCCGCGUGUGUGAAGAAGGCCUUCGGGUUGUAAAGCACUUUUGUCCGGAAAGAAAUCCUUGGCUCUAAUACAGUCGGGGGAUGACGGUACCGGAAGAAUAAGCACCGGCUAACUACGUGCCAGCAGCCGCGGUAAUACGUAGGGUGCAAGCGUUAAUCGGAAUUACUGGGCGUAAAGCGUGCGCAGGCGGUUUGCUAAGACCGAUGUGAAAUCCCCGGGCUCAACCUGGGAACUGCAUUGGUGACUGGCAGGCUAGAGUAUGGCAGAGGGGGGUAGAAUUCCACGUGUAGCAGUGAAAUGCGUAGAGAUGUGGAGGAAUACCGAUGGCGAAGGCAGCCCCCUGGGCCAAUACUGACGCUCAUGCACGAAAAGCGUGGGGGAGCAAACAGGAUUAGAUACCCUGGUAGUCCACGCCCUAAACGAUGUCAACUAGUUGUUGGGGAUUCAUUUCCUUAGUAACGUAGCUAACGCGUGAAGUUGACCGCCUGGGGAGUACGGUCGCAAGAUUAAAACUUAAAUGAAUUGACGGGGUCAUAGCUGUUUCCU
rnacentral:rRNA from 1 species